AGAGUUUGAUCCUGGCUCAGAACGAACGCUGGCGGCGUGCCUAACACAUGCAAGUCGAGCGAGAAAGUCCCCGCAAGGGGAUGAGUAAAGCGGCGAACGGGUGAGUAACACGUGGGCAACCUGCCCUUCAGUUAGGAAUAACCCCGCGAAAGCGGGGCUAAUACCGGAUGACGUCCUUUGGGGGCAUCCUUGAAGGACCAAAGGGGGCGAGCGUAAGCGGCUCCCGCUGAAGGAUGGGCCUGCGGCUGAUUAGCUAGUUGGUGGGGUAGCGGCCUACCAAGGCGACGAUCAGUAGCCGACCUGAGAGGGUGACCGGCCACACUGGGACUGAGACCCGGCCCAGACUCCUACGGGAGGCAGCAGUGGGGAAUAUUGCGCAAUGGGCGAAAGCCUGACGCAGCGACGCCGCGUGGGUGAUGAAGGCCUUCGGGUCGUAAAACCCUGUCGGGUGGAACGAAUCGCCGCCUUGCUAAUACCGAGGCGGCUUGACGGUACCACCGAAGGAAGCCCCGGCUAACUACGUGCCAGCAGCCGCGGUAAUACGUAGGGGGCGAGCGUUGUUCGGAUUUACUGGGCGUAAAGAGCGCGUAGGCGGUUCGAUCAGUCGGAGGUGAAAUCCCUCGGCUUAACCGAGGACCCGCGUCCGAUACUGUCGAACUUGAGUGCAGGAGAGGAGAGCGGAAUUCCCAGUGUAGCAGUGAAAUGCGUAGAGAUGCGGAGGAACACCGAUGGCGAAGGCAGCCCCCUGGGCCAAUACUGACGCUCAGGCACGAAAGCGUGGGGAGCAAACAGGAUUAGAUACCCUGGGUAGUCCACGCCCUAAACGAUGCUCACUACGUGUUGGGGAAGCGAUUCCUUGGUACCGUAGCUACGCGUGAGUGAGCCGCCUGGGGGAGUACGGCCGCAAGGUUAAACUCAAGGAAUUG
rnacentral:rRNA from 1 species